rnacentral:rRNA from 1 species
AUUGAACGCUGGCGGCAGGCCUAACACAUGCAAGUCGAACGGUAGCAGGAAGAAGCUUGCUUCUUCGCUGACGAGUGGCGGACGGGUGAGUAAUGUCUGGGAAACUGCCUGAUGGAGGGGGAUAACUACUGGAAACGGUAGCUAAUACCGCAUAACGUCGCAAGACCAAAGAGGGGGACCUUCGGGCCUCUUGCCAUCGGAUGUGCCCAGAUGGGAUUAGCUUGUUGGUGGGGUAACGGCUCACCAAGGCGACGAUCCCUAGCUGGUGUGAGAGGGUGACCAGCCACACUGGAACUGAGACACGGUCCAGACUCCUACGGGAGGCAGCAGUGGGGAAUAUUGCACAAUGGGCGCAAGCCUGGUGCAGCCAUGCCGCGUGUAUGAAGAAGGCCUUCGGGUUGUAAAGUACUUUCAGCGGGGAGGAAGGGAGUAAAGUUAAUACCUUGGCUCAUUGACGUUACCCGCAGAAGAAGCACCGGCUAACUACGUG